UAGGUGCGGUUUUCUUCUCCUGAUGUAUGUGAACGAGUGGAUGAGUUAGGAAUGUUUAAAUGAGUGUACAUAUAAUUAGACAUUUAUAACUUAUUUACUCGUUCACAUCCAUCAGAAGAAGAAAAUCGCAACAA